GCAAAUGCUGACGGGAUUCCGGCGGUGGCGAUCGUGGCCUUCAGCGACCCAGAGCCUGGGCUGCAGAUCACGUCAUUCGCACUUUUUGCCAACAAUCUGCCAUCGGCAGUGGUGGAGAAGGUCACUUUUCUUGAUGAUGCUGAGGUGAAGAAGCUUAAGGGAGUGCUUGGCGGGACCGGUUAAGCUCGACGGCCAGCUGGACAUUGGACAACCCCUUUAGUGUUUGUGAGUCUGUGACUGUGAGUGUGUGAGUUCAAGUGUGUUAGAUCCUCUGAGUUGGUUAUGUUUGUUGGGUUUAAUCUUGUGUCAG
rnacentral:misc_RNA from 1 species